GACGAACGCUGGCGGCGUGCCUAAUACAUGCAAGUCGAACGGAGUGGCGCACGGGUGAGUAAUGUAUAGCUAAUCUGCCCUACACUAGAGGACAACAGUUGGAAACGGCUGCUAAUCCUCUAUAGUGUAGGAUGAGGCUAUCUUGUAUCAGCUAGUUGGUGAGGUAAUGGCUCACCAAGGCUAUGAGGCAUACCUGGUCUGAGAGGAUGAUCAGUCAAACUGGAACUGAGACACGGUCCAGACUCCUACGGGAGGCAGCAGUAGGGAAUAUUGCACAAGGGGGGAAACCCUGAAGCAGCAACGCCGCGUGGAGGAUGACACUUUUCGGAGCGUAAACUCCUUUUGUUAGGGAAGCGGUACCUAACGAAGAAGCACCGGCUAACACCGUGCCAGCCGCCGCGGUAAUA
rnacentral:rRNA from 1 species